GAGCGUCCGCGGCCCGCGCAGAGCCGCGCACCAAGCCGAUGGCGGUGGACGCAGCAGGGCCCCGCGGUCUGAGUGCGGGCAGGCGCGCGUGGGCGUGUCUCCCUGGCCCACGCGUGUCCCCGGCAUCAGUGUCUCGGCUCUGGUCCAGGACGAAGACUUCUGAAAGCGAGCCAAGGAGAAUCACAGUUCUUAACGGAGCCCCUGACUGCCCGGUGGAAGGAGGUGAUUUAGAAGACAGUGAGUUGAUCUGGGGCAAAGUGAAGCAUCAGUAGCGCCUUCCAUCCCUUCACCUCACCUGGAUCUCUUCACUUCACUCCACGUCUGUCGUCUCCCAUGCAUGAAGCAACAUGGCCAAGUGAAGCUGCAACCAGUAAAGUCCUCCCAAUAGAACAUUUCUUCCUGAGCCAACCUAUCAGUGCAGCUCUGGAAGCAAAUGACCUCUCCUGGCAGAGCCUUCACUGUGUGGGGAACAUCAGAUUUGUGUAAAGAAGAUCACCUGUCUCUUCUCAGGUGUGCACUGUAGAGAAGCUGCUGCGAAGGCCACAGGUCACUCAGGAAAAUUUGGGGCAGUUUUCUAGGUUCAAGGGAGACUGGACAUCAAAGCUGCACUGGGACAUAUGGACGCCUUGAUCCACUUUGGCCAUUCCACCUCAGCUCAGAAUUACUCACUGGUGUCAGGAUGUUUCUUGGCUUCAAACCAUUUGGAUAAGUGAUGGCAGCAAGCUUCGCCACUGUAAAGUCACCUCUUUGUAAGAAGACAGGAGCUCUUUGUAAAGAAUAUGAGACCUGAGGCUGGGGGAUGGCUGAGAAGGGAAAAGCACCUCUGCACAAGCGUGAGAAAAGGAGUUUGUUCUUCCACAUCCAUGUAGAAAUCUUGAUGCCGUGCCGUGAACCCCAGCUCUCCUACGGGAAGAUGGGAGGCGUAGACAGGAGUUCAUCUGGAAGCUUGAGGCCAGCCACCCAGAUCCUCAGAGCUGCAGACAAAAGAGAGGCCCUGCAGCAAAAGAGUGGAAGGUGAGAACCAACUCCGGAAAGUUGCCCUCUGACCUUUACAAGUGUAUACAUCCACACACAUACAAUAAAAUCAAUUGCUCAAUCACGUA
rnacentral:lncRNA from 1 species